GAUGAACGCUGGCGGCGUGCCUAAUACAUGCAAGUCGAGCGAACAGACGAGGAGCUUGCUCCUCUGCCGUUAGCGGCGGACGGGUGAGUAACACGUGGAUAACCUACUUAUAAGACUGGGAUAACUUCGGGAAACCGGAGAUAAUACCGGAUAAUAUAUUGAACCGCAUGGUUCAAUAGUGAAAGACGGUUUUGCUGUCACUUAUAGAUGGAUCCGCGCCGCAUUAGCUAGUUGGUAAGGUAACGGCUUACCAAGGCAACGAUGCGUAGCCGACCUGAGAGGGUGAUCGGCCACACUGGAACUGAGACACGGUCCAGACUCCUACGGGAGGCAGCAGUAGGGAAUCUUCCGCAAUGGGCGAAAGCCUGACGGAGCAACGCCGCGUGAGUGAUGAAGGUCUUCGGAUCGUAAAACUCUGUUAUUAGGGAAGAACAAAUGUAGAAGUAACUAUGCACGUCUUGACGGUACCUAAUCAGAAAGCCACGGCUAACUACGUG
rnacentral:rRNA from 1 species